rnacentral:sRNA from 1 species
UCCCGCCGCCCUCCUUGGGCGUUUCCUCCCUAGACUUGGGCCGCUAGUUCGCUAGCGGCCCUUUUUUUUAGAAGC